AGAGUUUGAUCAUGGCUCAGGACGAACGCUGGCGGCGUGCUUAAUACAUGCAAGUCGAACGAACCUUCGGGUUAGUGGCGGACGGGUGAGUAACGCGUGAGAAUCUGCCCUCAGGAGGAGGGCAACAACUGGGGAAACGCUUGCUAAUACCCCAUAUGCCCAAAGGUGAAACGAUUUUUCGCCUGAGGAUGAGCUCGCGUCUGAUUAGCUGGUUGGUGGGGUAACGGCCUACCAAGGCUUCGAUCAGUAGCUGGUCUGAGAGGACGAUCAGCCACACUGGGACUGAGACACGGCCCAGACUCCUACGGGAGGCAGCAGUAGGGAAUUUUCCGCAAUGGGCGAAAGCCUGACGGAGCAACGCCGCGUGAGGGACUAAGGCCUUUGGGCUGUAAACCUCUUUUCUCAAGGAAGAAGAUCUGACGGUACUUGAGGAAUAAGCCACGGCUAAUUCCGUGCCAGCAGCCGCGGUAAUACGGGAGUGGCAAGCGUUAUCCGGAAUUAUUGGGCGUAAAGCGUCCGCAGGCGGCCAAGCAAGUCUGUUGUUAAAGCGUGGAGCUCAACUCCAUCACUGCAAUGGAAACUGCUAGGCUUGAGUGUGGCAGGGGCAGAGGGAAUUUCCGGUGUAGCGGUGAAAUGCGUAUAUAUCGGGAAGGAACACCAGUGGCGAAAGCGCUCUGCUGGGCCAUUACUGACGCUCAUGGACGAAAGCCAGGGGAGCAAAAGGGAUUAGAUACCCCUUG
rnacentral:rRNA from 1 species